UUUUAUUUUAUCCGGGUCUUACAUAAUUGGAACGAUACAGAGAAGAUUAGCAUGGCUCCUGCGCAAGGAUGACACGCACAAAUCGAGAAAUGUCCAAAUUUUUC
rnacentral:snRNA from 2 species